ACUAAGGAGCAUCAAUUCCUACAAGUUUUACUCCAUUUGAAAUAUGGCAUCUAUAAAUCUAUAUGGUACUCUAAUGAGGCGUGAAGAAAGGAAAACUCAUGACUACUGUAAAGCCUAUGUAAUAAAACUGCCCAGAUUUAAGAUCACAGAUGUAUUCCAAAUAUCUCAACGUGACCAUUGCCCUUGCAGGCUCUUGAUCUGCUCAGGGACUCCAACCAUUCCAUCAUCUGCACGGCUUUUGAGACCAUGGAAUAGCCCUGGGGGAUGAAAAUUUGGGCGUGAGUCGACAUUAUGAGCUGGCAGCUCAGAAGGCCCAUGGUAUCCUGGGCUGCACCUUGGACUGUGAGGUCACAGAGCCGCUCUGUGUCACACCCUGGUGUGUAGUCCUGUGCACGGACACCGCUCCGGCAGUGCUGGCAGCGUUAGCAGCGGCGGCAGCAGCAUCUGCAGCGGCAGCAGCAUUUGCAGCGGCAGCAGCAGAAGCGCCAGCAUCUACAGCAGCGGCGGCAGUGGCCAAAGCAGCAGCAGCAUUUGCAGCAGCAGCGGUCACAGCAGCAGCAUCAUUUACUGUAGCAGCGGCAGUGGUCACAGCAGCAGCAAUUAUUUGCAGCAGCUGCAGUGGCCACAGCAGCAGCAAUAUUUGUGGCAGAACUAGUGGCAGAGCCAAGAUGAAGGGGUGGGGGGUCACCUCACUCCUUAUCCUCCUCCUCCUGGUUCUGCAAGCCCAGGAGGUCGGGGCAGCGCCGUGCAGACAACGGGAAACUGAUGUGCCUGUAGCCGAUGGCCUCGCCACUCCACAGCCGGCUCUUGUCCAGAAGCAUCGCGGCAAUCCCUCAGACACGGCUGGACGCAAGGGAUUUCUAGGGUACCAACUGGCUUCCGGAACUGACACUCAGGGCCGUCUCAUGGGUGCGUCGUGGCUUUUAUCCUCUUUGGGGAGCUCCCUGCUCAAAGCUGUUCAGUGAUGAUGGUAUGCAUCAAAGUGUGUGAUGGAAACUUCUUGUGGGUGU